AGCACCUUGCGCCUCUUGGUAUUCCGAGAGGCAUGCCUGUUUGAGUGUCAUGAAAUCUCAAUCCGCAUGGGUUUUUGACCCGUGGUGGACUUGGACUUGGGCGUCUGCCUCCCCAGGCUCGCCUCAAAUGACUCAGUGGGAUCCUUGCGACCUAUGCCUGACGUAAUAAGUUUCGUCUCGGCCGGACGCUUGGGCCUGCUCAUAACACCCCAUAUCUUUUGACAUUGACCUCAAAUCAGGUAGGGCUACCCGCUGAACUUAA
rnacentral:misc_RNA from 1 species